rnacentral:rRNA from 1 species
CAGCCGCCGCGGUAAUACGUAGGGUGCGAGCGUUCAUCGGAUUUACUGGGCGUAAAGCGUGCGCAGGCGGCCCGUUAAGACAGGUGUGAAAUCCCUGGGCUCAACCUAGGAAUUGCGCUUGUGACUGGCGGGCUCGAGUACGGUAGAGGGGGGUGGAAUUCCUGGUGUAGCAGUGAAAUGCGUAGAGAUCAGGAGGAACACCGAUGGCGAAGGCAGCCCCCUGGGCCUGUACUGACGCUCAUGCACGAAAGCGUGGGGAGCAAACAGGAUUAGAUGCCCUGGUAGUCCACGCCCUAAACGAUGGGUACUAGCCGUUUGGUGCGCGAUAGCGCUGAGUGGCGAAGCUAACGCGUGAAGUACCCCGCCUGGGGAGUACGGCCGCAAGGUUGAAACUUAAAGGAAUUGGCGGG